CUUCUUCUAACAUUGGAAUCAUAUAUUUUUUUAUAACCACAUAAUUAGGACCUUUGCUCUUCCAUGGGAUCAUAUAUCCUUUAAAUUUUGAUGUUUUGGAUCCAGUGGGAGACUAAUUUUACAUUGGAAUCUUCCUUAAGACCAAAUCCAACGUUGUUUCUGGCAAAAAUGGAUGCAUUCCGUUUAUCACAUUCAUUUAUGCUCAGCACCAACAUCCACAGCCCCUCCUCUCUCUGCACCCUUCGUUCCCUCUCCACCAAUCCCCGCAACAGGUGGUUCAAGGUGGAAGCCACCGCCGGCGGCAGCCAGAAGAAGAACAAUAACAAGGCCUUCGACGCGGCGGCGUUCGAGGCGGAGCGACUUGCCCUCGACGCAGAGGCCCGGCGAACCAUGGCGGACGCCGCCGACCCGAAGGCCUGGAAAUGGAUAAUCCGGAAGAGAAUAUGGGAUAUGAUGGAAGCUCGCAACUUUGCCAACAACCCUCGGCCGGUUCACCACCGCAUUCCCAAUUUCGUUGGCGCCUCUGUUGCUGCUGAAAAGAUGAGGGAGCUAGAUGUGUUUCAGGAUGCACAAUGUGUAAAGGUUAAUCCAGACUCUCCUCAGAAACAAGUCAGGUUUCUCACUCUUUCAGAUGGCAAGAAGUUGUUGACUCCUCAACCUCGGCUGAGAACAGGUUUCUUCUCUGUACUUGAUUCCAAUAUGUUAACUUUGGAUACCAUCAAGGAAGCCUGCACUUCUGUUGGGGUUGCCAAGCAUGGACGGCCGAUUGGGUUAGACGAAAAGAUAAAGGUGGAUCUUAUUGUUAUUGGAUCUGUUGCUGUUGAUCCAAAGACAGGUGCUCGAUUGGGAAAGGGAGAGGGAUUUGCAGAACUUGAAUAUGGUAUGCUGAGGUACAUGGGAGCCAUCGAUGAUUCAACACGAGUUGUUACAUCUGUGCAUGACUGCCAAUUGGUGGAUGAUAUUCCAGUUGAAAAGCUGUUAAUCCAUGAUGUACCAGUGGAUAUCAUUUGUACCCCGACACAGGUCAUUUUUACAAAUACAUCUAUCCCAAAGCCUCAAGGAAUUUAUUGGGACAAGUUGUCUCCUGAGAAGUUGGGACAAGUUCGUAUACUGAGGGAGCUCAAGAAGAGGAUUGAACAAGAGACUGGACAGAAGCUUCCUACUGGUCCAUCGGAGAAAUUACCCCCUACUGCUCAACGAAGUAGAAGGGGUUGAUUAUGUACAUAAUGAUGGGUCAUGAGUGGAAGGAUAUUGCUUUUGUUCAGAAGUCAAACGUGUAGAGUUAUAUACAAUAAAUUACAGAUUUCCUUGGUCCCCAUGAAAGUAAGAUCUUUUUCUUACAACUGAAGUCAUGGGAUGAGUUCUAAAGUUAUGAAGCUUCGAUUAUGAUAGGAAAGAAGUUCCACGAAAUGGUUCAUUUGUCCACUCCAAACCGACUGUGGAAUAUCAUUGGGUGUCUUUUACUACGACUUGGAUUUCUUUUAAGAUCUUAUCGCAUAAGUCAAAUGUGAUGUGGAUACAAACACGUGAAUCAAUUAAAAAAUUUCAUGUUGUGAGUUCUAGAGAUGGAAUGUUAUUCAAGUCUUUUUCAAAUAUCAUUGCCCACUGUGUUUAAGUUGUACAAUGAAAAUGUAUAUUGGUUUCGUUUGUGAUGGCAACACAAUCAGGCUUUUGAAGGAUAAGUAUGGAAUAAAGUAGAAAGACUCACUACUUAAACGUAUAGUAUUCAAAAUC